rnacentral:rRNA from 1 species
AUGAACGCUGGCGGCGUGCCUCAUGCAUGCAAGUCGAGCGAACAGACGAGGAGCUUGCUCCUCUGACGUUAGCGGCGGACGGGUGAGUAACACGUGGAUAACCUACCUAUAAGACUGGGAUAACUUCGGGAAACCGGAGCUAAUACCGGAUAAUAUAUUGAACCGCAUGGUUCAAUAGUGAAAGACGGUUUUGCUGUCACUUAUAGAUGGAUCCGCGCCGCAUUAGCUAGUUGGUAAGGUAACGGCUUACCAAGGCAACGAUGCGUAGCCGACCUGAGAGGGUGAUCGGCCACACUGGAACUGAGACACGGUCCAGACUCCUACGGGAGGCAGCAGUAGGGAAUCUUCCGCAAUGGGCGAAAGCCUGACGGAGCAACGCCGCGUGAGUGAUGAAGGUCUUCGGAUCGUAAAACUCUGUUAUUAGGGAAGAACAAAUGUGUAAGUAACUAUGCACGUCUUGACGGUACCUAAUCAGAAAGCCACGGCUAACUACGUG